rnacentral:rRNA from 1 species
UACGGAAGGCAGCAGUGGGGAAUAUUGCACAAUGGGCGCAAGCCUGAUGCAGCCAUGCCGCGUGUAUGAAGAAGGCCUUCGGGUUGUAAAGUACUUUCAGUCGUGAGGAAGGUGUUAAGGUUAAUAACCUUAGCAAUUGACGUUAGCGACAGAAGAAGCACCGGCUAACUCCGUGCCAGCAGCCGCGGUAAUACGGAGGGUGCGAGCGUUAAUCGGAAUUACUGGGCGUAAAGGGCACGCAGGCGGUUAAUUAAGUUGGAUGUGAAAUCCCCGGGCUUAACCUGGGAAUGGCAUUCAAGACUGGUUAGCUAGAGUCUUGUAGAGGGGGUUAGAAUUCCAUGUGUAGCGGUGAAAUGCGUAGAGAUGUGGAGGAAUACCGGUGGCGAAGGCGGCCCCUGGACAAGACUGACGCUCAUGUGCGAAAGCGUGGGGAGCAAACAGGGAUUAGAUACC